GAUGAACGCUGGCGGCGUGCCUAAUACAUGCAAGUCGAGCGAACGGACGAGAAGCUUGCUUCUCUGAUGUUAGCGGCGGACGGGUGAGUAACACGUGGAUAACCUACCUAUAAGACUGGGAUAACUUCGGGAAACCGGAGUUAGUACCGGAUAAUAUUUUGAACCGCAUGGUUCAAAAGUGAAAGACGGUCUUGCUGUCACUUAUAGAUGGAUCCGCGCUGCAUUAGCUAGUUGGUAAGGUAACGGCUUACCAAGGCAACGAUGCAUUGCCGACCUGAGAGGGUGAUCGGCCACACUGGAACUGAGACACGGUCCAGACUCCUACGGGAGGCAGCAGUAGGGAAUCUUCCGCAAUGGGCGAAAGCCUGACGGAGCAACGCCGCGUGAGUGAUGAAGGUCUUCGGAUUGUAAAACUCUGUUAUUAGGGAAGAACAUAUGUGUAAGUAACUGUGCACAUCUUGACGGUACCUAAUCAGAAAGCCACGGCUAACUACGUGCCAGCAGCCGCGGUAAUACGUAGGUGGCAAGCGUUAUCCGGAAUUAUUGGGCGUAAAGCGCGCGUAGGCGGUUUUUUAAGUCUGAUGUGAAAGCCCACGGCUCAACCGUGGAGGGUCAUUGGAAACUGGAAAACUUGAGUGCAGAAGAGGAGAGUGGAAUUCCAUGUGUAGCGGUGAAAUGCGCAGAGAUAUGGAGGAACACCAGUGGCGAAGGCGACUUUCUGGUCUGUAACUGACGCUGAUGUGCGAAAGCGUGGGGAUCAAACAGGAUUAGAUACCCUGGUAGUCCACGCCGUAAACGAUGAGUGCUAAGUGUUAGGGGGUUUCCGCCCCUUAGUGCUGCAGCUAACGCAUUAAGCACUCCGCCUGGGGAGUACGACCGCAAGGUUGAAACUCAAAGGAAUUGACGGGGACCCGCACAAGCGGUGGAGCAUGUGGUUUAAUUCGAAGCAACGCGAAGAACCUUACCAAAUCUUGACAUCCUUUGACAACUCUAGAGAUAGAGCUUUCCCCUUCGGGGGACAAAGUGACAGGUGGUGCAUGGUUGUCGUCAGCUCGUGUCGUGAGAUGUUGGGUUAAGUCCCGCAACGAGCGCAACCCUUAAGCUUAGUUGCCAUCAUUAAGUUGGGCACUCUAAGUUGGCUGCCGGUGACAAACCGGAGGAAGGUGGGGAUGACGUCAAAUCAUCAUGCCCCUUAUGAUUUGGGCUACACACGUGCUACAAUGGACAAUACAAAGGGCAGCGAAACCGUGAGGUCAAGCAAAUCCCAUAAAGUUGUUCUCAGUUCGGAUUGUAGUCUGCAACUCGACUACAUGAAGCUGGAAUCGCUAGUAAUCGUAGAUCAGCAUGCUACGGUGAAUACGUUCCCGGGUCU
rnacentral:rRNA from 1 species